AUGCUCGCUUCUACAGCACAGAUACUAAAAUAGGAACAAUACUGAGAAGAUUGGCAUGGCCCCUGCACAAGGACAACAUACCAAUUUGUGAAGCUUUCAAAAAAAAU